AGGUAAGCACCACGCGCACGCGGCGCAGCCAUGUUGCUCGGCGCGUGGCCGCGUCGGCAGGCGGUCCCGUGCCCGCGCGGGCGCUGCCUGCAGUACCGCCCGGCGGCCAGAGGAGGGCAGCAGAGACCCCGGAGCCGCUUCGGGGCUGCUUUGUGGAAACCAACCUGACAACCGGGGAAGUUUCUAAAGCAGGUACAGCAGUUGUUUAAUAGCGACUUUGGGGAAGUUUUCAGUAUCCAGUCUCCUCAUAAGGAAGAAAGAAGGUUUCUGGAGGACUGAAUCAUGAGUCGCGCUGCCGCUAAAGCUCCACUUCCAGAAAGAAAGCAUCUUUUGUGGCAUAAAGAAGCGUGGAAAGGGGAUGGAACAGCUUAUGGAGAGGUGAUGGAACAGCUUGUUCUAGAUGCCAUCUCCAAGCAAUUGGAAGAGAAGAAGGUCAUCAGAAAUAGUCAGGAUGGAUUCACCAAGGGAAAAUGGUGCUCGACCAAGCUCGUAGCCUUUUAUGAUGGCAUCACCAGCUGGAUAGAUGGGGGGAGAGCAACGGAAGUUGUCUACCUUGACUUCAGCAAGGCUUUUGAUACUGUCUCCCACGACAUCCUGAUAAGGAAGCUGAGAAAGUGUGGGAUGGAUGAGUGGACGGUGAGGUGGGUUGAGAAUAGAGCUCAUUCUACGUGGCUUUUGAGGGCUUUGCAGGUAUUGAUCUUGCAGGGGGAUCUGUCUGGCCGCAGGACCGUGGUUGGAUACAUUGAUUCCAGCAGAAGCUCAGUAAGCAGCGGCGACCUGUGCAAAGCGCUGCUCGGCAUGGACCUGUGCUGAGGUGAGUGGGGGCUCAACGUGUUGCUCCUGGUUCAUGUUCAGUGCUAACAGGAAACUCGCG
rnacentral:lncRNA from 1 species